rnacentral:rRNA from 1 species
AUUGAACGCUGGCGGCAGGCCUAACACAUGCAAGUCGAACGGUAACAGGAAGCAGCUUGCUGCUUCGCUGACGAGUGGCGGCCGGGUGAGUAAUGUCUGGGAAACUGCCUGAUGGAGGGGGAUAACUACUGGAAACGGUAGCUAAUACCGCAUAACGUCGCAAGACCAAAGAGGGGGACCUUAGGGCCUCUUGCCAUCGGAUGUGCCCAGAUGGGAUUAGCUAGUAGGUGGGGUAACGGCUCACCUAGGCGACGAUCCCCAGCUGGUCUGAGAGGAUGACCAGCCACACUGGAACUGAGACACGGUCCAGACUCCUACGGGAGGCAGCAGUGGGGAAUAUUGCACAAUGGGCGCAAGCCUGAUGCAGCCAUGCCGCGUGUAUGAAGAAGGCCUUCGGGUUGUAAAGUACUUUCAGCGGGGAGGAAGGGAGUAAAGUUAAUACCUUUGCUCAUUGACGUUACCCGCAGAAGAAGCACCGGCUAACUCCGUG